GUGACCAGCCUGGCCAACAUGGCGAAACCCCGUCUCUACUAAACAUACAAAAAUUAGCUGGGCAUGGUGGCACAUGCCUGUAAUCCCAGCUACUCGGGAGGCUGAGGCAGGAGAAUCACUUGAACUCGGGAGGCGGAGGUUGCAGUGAGCCAAGAUCGCGCCAUUGCACUCCAGCCUGGGCAACAAGAGUGAAACUCCAUCUCAGAAAAUAAAAAUAAAAAUAAAUAAAAGUACAUGAAAAAAGUAUAUUCCCUUAAGCAGGUAAAAUACUUGCAUUGUAUUUUUACAUCAUGAAUUUGCUUGUUAAGAAAUUUCUUUUCUGUAAGUGGUUAAAAGAUAAACUGUAUUCCAUCCUCUGGGUUUUCAAUUCUAAAUUAUUGGAGCUCAAUGUAUGACAUUUUACUGUAGUGUAUUCCACUGAGAGGCAAGGAAAUGGGAAAGUGUCAGGUAAUUAUAAAUGGGAAAAUUUUAUUUUUAUAUGAUGUAAAGUUUUACAGUUUAAAAUAGAUCAGCAUGUGAUUUCUUGUAGAGAUUAGCCAUUUCAUUUCUUUUUGCAUUUUUGCCAGUUACAUUAGUUUGCCCUAUGAUAUACUAUUCUGAGAUACUUCAGCCCCGCACACAUCAAGUACUAAUUGUAUACAGAUAGUACAGAUUUGUACUCUGAUUAUAAGAAUUUGUUACUACUAAUUAAAAGCAAAUUAAUGUGGCUGGGCGUGGUAGCUCACACCUGUAAUCCCAGCACUUUGGGUGGGCGGCUGAGGCGGGCGGAUCACGAGGUCAGGAGUUGGAGACCAGCCUGCCCAAUAUGGUGAAACCCUGUCUCUACUAAAAUUACAAAAAUUAGCUGGGCUUGGCGGUACGUGCCUGUAAUCCCAGCUACUGGGAAGGCCGAGGCAGGAGAAUGGCUUGAACCCAGGAGGCGGAGGUUGCAGUGAGCCAAGAUCACACCACUGCACUCCAGCCUGGGCGACAGAGCAAGACUCCGUCUCAAAAAAAAAAAAAGCAAAAUAUUUUUGCUGUGAUUGUAUGUCCCCUUUUAAGGAUAUUUAUUGCGCUUAUAACCUUAAUAGUUGUAUUCAUUACAUUUCAACAUGUCCAAGGUUAGCAGACAUGUAGUUCCUGAAAACCAACAUUUUAAAAGUUGCCUCUGGGCUGGGCAUGGUGGCUCACGCCUGUAAUCCCUGCACUUUGGGAGGCCGAGGUGGGCGGAUCACGAGGUCAAGAGAUGGAGACCAUCCUGGCCAACAUGCUGAAACCCCAUCUCUACUAAAAAUACAAAAAUUAGCUGGGUGUGGUGGCACACGCCUGUAGUCCCAGCUACUUGGGAGGCUGAGGCAGGAGAAUCACUUGAACCUGGGAGGCGGAGGUUGCAGUGAGCCAAGAUUGCACCGCUGCACUCCAGCCUGGCAACAGAGCAAGACUCCAUCUCAAAACAAACAUACAAACAAAAAAAGGUGCCUCUGGUCCUGUGUUUUCUUUUUCCUUCUGAAAGUUCAUAGAAACCUGGCAUAUAGAGCUUAUUUUGCUGUUUUAACUGGUUGGCUCCACAAAUCCUGCUACCUGACAUCAGUACAGCUUGACCGCAGUGAAGUACUUGAUGGCUUGUUCAUGUUUAGUUCACCUCUUUAGAAAGAAAGCUUUGUGGCCAGGUGCAGUGGCUCACACCUGUAAUCCCAACACUUUGGGCAGCUGAGGUGAGCAGAUCACCUGAGGUCAGGAGUUCAAGACCAGCCUGGCCAACAUGGCAAAACCCUGUCUCUUCUAAAAAUACAAAAAUUAGCCGGGUGUGGUGGCGGAGGAUGCAGUGAGCCAAGAUCGUGCCACUGCACUCCAGCCUGGGCAACAGAGUGAGACUCUGUCUCAAAAAAAAAAAAAAAUCGUUGUGCAGUAAUAGAUCAUCCCAAAAAAGAAUUGCCAUGAACAGCGUUAUGCGUAGAAAACAGAUGGAAGUGUUGGUCAUUAGAGCCUUGCUUUUUAAAUUUUAUUCUUUCCAAAAAUUGGCGGUAUGCUAUCUAUAAUUUUAUGUUUGAUGUUGAAGAGGCAACACCAGAGACUAGAGAGGGAGAUUACUCUGAUAUUUAGUGCCUAAAACUUUCAUCUUGGCCGGGCACGGUGGCUCACACCUGUAAUCCCAGCACUUCGGGAGGCCGAGGCAGGCUGAUUACCUGAGGUCAGGAGUUCGAGACCAGCCUGGACAACAUGGCAAAACCCGUCUCUACUAAAAAUACAAAAAUUAGCCAGGCAUGGUGGUGGGCGCCUGUAAUCCCAGCUACUCGGGAGGCUGAGGCGAGAGAAUCGUUUGAACCCGGUAGGCGGAGGUUGCAGUGAGCCGAGAUCAUGCCACUGCACUCCAGCCUGGGCGACAAGAGUGAAACUCCGUCUCAAAAAAUAAUAAUAAUUUUAAAAAUAAAAGACAAAACUUUCAUCUUUAUUUCAUGGCUUUAUUUCAUCUUUAUUUCAUUUUUGGUUGGGAAAACAAACAAAAAUCUCUUAAGUUAGUCCUUUAAUAGUCUUUUUAGAACCAAAGAAGGAAAGACUGCAAAAAUGUUGCAUACGUGACUCUUUAUUGUCAGAAUCUGUAGAAACUGGAGGUCUUUGUAAAGAAAUAGACUAGUAGGAUUGUGAGAAUAUAUAGUGAGGGGGGAUUUAGGAUAAGGCUUCCUUGCUGGGAUCCUUGGACAGAAACCUUACAAUUGUUUAAUAUUUGCAGAGUAAAAGAGCAGCUAUUGCUAUUUGAACCUACAGAAGAGACCUAAGACGAGCGUCUCUGUAAUCUAAAUUUAUAUGAUAAUGUUGUCCCAGACCCAAAGGCACACCUAUUCUCAGUAACUUAGAGAAGUCUUGGAAGUUGCUUCUGAAUUACAGUAAAGAAAUUAAAUGAAGUCUUUAUCCUUAAAUAGGGCCAGGCAUUGCUAUCAACAUAGUGUCUUUGGUUUUCCCCUUUAAAUAGAAAACACCAAGCAGGGCCUUUCCAGACAAUGUAGUCUUUCCUGUAAAGAAAAUGGUUUUGGUGUGGGAUUUGGUAAAAACACUGGUUAGUUUGUAAUGAAGAAAGAAUUUUGGCAUAGACAGUCCGACCCAGUUCAUGGAUACAGUUUGAUCCCAGGGAGUUUAACAAAAGGAAGCUUUGGUUUUGCUAGCAACAGACUUGAUCUUCUAUAGUAAUUAAUUGCAAUUAAGGUUUUCCAGGAGCUUUCUCAUUUCUUAGCCCAGGGUCCAACCCCAUUCCCUCUUUAAAAAAGAAAGAAUAGGCCGGGAGCAGUGGCUCAUGCCUGCAAUCCCAGCACUUUGGGAGGCCAAGGCAGGUGGAUCACAAGGUCAGGAGUUUGAGACCAGCGUGGCCAAUAUGGUGAAACCCUGUCUCUACUAAAAAUACAAAAUUAGCUAGGCGUGGUGGCAGGCGCCUGAGGCUGAGGCAGGAGAAUCCUGCUAGUCUGAAUUACAAUAAGGAAAUUAAAUGAAGGAUUUAUCUUUAAUAGAGCCAGGCAUUGCUAUCAACAUAACAUGUUUGGUUUUCCCCUUUAAAUAGAAAACACCAAGCAGGGCCUUUCCAGACAAGGUAGUCUGGAACCCAGGAGGCGGAGGUUGCAGUGAGCCGAGAUCCCACCAUUGCACUCCAGCCUGGGUGGCAGAGUGAGACUCCGUCUCAAAAAAAAAAAAAAGAAGGAAUAGGAAAAGGACUUAGAGGCAGUUGAUAUAGAAUUCUACUGGGGGUAAAUGACACUCUCAAAAUACUUGGGAAAGAAGAAUCACAUGCCACAAGCUAUAGCUUGAUUAAUAUUUUAGCAUGUUUUCCAUGUUUGUAUUCUAAAGUUUGUUUCCUUUGACAUUCCAUUAUCUUACUUACUAGAGUGCCACCAUUCUUAUUUGUAAUACAAUCAGUGUUUUAUGCCAUUUGUGAAUCACACAAUUGUUCUUUUUUCCCCAUCACACACACUCACACACAAACACACACACUGUUAAAAAUAAAAGAGGGGAAGGAUAAAACAAAAAUAGAUAGAAUGAUGAUUAUUACAAUGUAACUUUAACAUAUAUGAAGAGAAAUUCUAACUCAGUUAAGUGAGAAUUAAGAUUGAAAGUAUUAAUGUUGCAAGUAUUAUCUCUAGCCAUGGAAUUUUUUGCUGGCUAUAGAAUGCUAAUGUGAACAGAGUAUAUAUCAGGAAUAUGAUGUAUUAUGGCACAGUGAUAAUAUUAUUGUUGAUAUUAGCCAGAUGUGGUGGUUUGCACCUGUAGUCCGAACUUCUCAGGAGGAUGAGGCAGGAGGAUAGUUGAGCCCAGGAGUUUAAAGCAAGCCUGGGCAAUACAGCAAGACCCCAAUCUUUAAAAUAAAUAAAUAAAUAAGAAUUAUUCUUGAAAGUAAUAUUCUAACCUUCUGCCAACCAACAGAGAUCCUCAUAUUCUUAAAGAAAAUUAAUAUAGCUUAUGGUUUUGAUAAAUUGGACUCUGAUUUAAACUUUAAAAUGUUAUGACUUUUAUUCUGAUACAUGGCUUCUAAAAUAUGUAAAAAAUUAUAUUGAAUGAAUUAAUACUUAACCUGUUCAUUUCUCUUAAUUUAUGUAUUUAUUCUGACUUUAUUAUACAGCUUAUGUCUCACAUCUGCCUUCUUGAUAUGUGCAAAAUAUUGUGUAAAAAUAGUUUAAAACUCAUCCCAGUUCCUAGUCAAGCGUGGGCUAUAAGAGAGAAGGCUUAAGGUGUUCUUUAAUGGAGGAACUUUUGAAAGAUCACAAAUGGAAAAAGCCUAUUGAGAAUUUAUUGCCUUUGAGAGUAGAAAGGGCUCUAGAAUAUGAGCCAGAGACUUGGAAUUUAGUAAUAGGUCUCCCACUGAUUUGCUCCGUGUCCUUAGGCAAUUCGUUUAAUCUCUGUGUGCCUAGUUUCCCCUUGUAAAUAAGAGUGGUAAUACCUGUCCUCACCUACCUCACUAAAUUGUUGGAGUUCUUUUGUUCUGAGUCAGGGUCUCACUCUGUUGCCCAGGCUGAACUACAGUAGUGUGAUCAUAGCUCACUACAGCCUCCAACUCCUGGGCCCAAACUAUCCUCCUGCUUCAGCCUCCCAAGUAGCUGGGACUAGAGGUACAUGCCACCACACCCAGCUAAUUAUUUUCUUUUAUUGCAGAGAUGGGGUCUCACAUGUUGCCAAGGCUGAUCUCUAACUCCUGAGCUCAAGCAGUCCUCCUGCCUCAGCCACCCAAAGUGCUGGGAUUAUAGGCAUGAUCACUAAAUUGUUGUAAGAAUAAGAUAAUGUUUGCGGAAGCAUUUGAGUUCUCCAAAGGAAAAGCUAUUCAGACGUUCAAGAUAAUAGAAGAGUGUUGUGUGAAGGAUUCCUUUCCAGUUUGCCUCUGUGAAAAUGUCUUUGUUGUAGAUCAUUUUAUGAAAUAGGAAUAAGAGAAACAUAGGCCUUAUCAUGGUGUAGUGUUCACUUACAAACAUAUCCUGUUGUUUCUUCCCUGCAAGAUAUCCAGCACACAGGCUGAAUUUUUCUUUAUAAUAAUCCUUGGCAAAAGCAUAACUUUUCAAAAACCAAAUGAUUUUAGUGGUGCUAUGGCAGCUGCAGUUUUGAGUUAGAUUAAUGUGGUGAAAACCAUCAAAUACUUAGAAAUUGACUGGGUGCGGUGGCUCAUGCCUGUAAUCCCAGCACUUUGGGAGGCCGAGGUAGGUGGAUCACUUGAGGUCAGGAGUUCGAGACCAGCCUGGCCAACAUGGCAAAACCCCGUCUCUACUAAAGAUACAAAAAUUAGCUGGGCACGAUGGAGGGUGCCUGUAAUCCCAGCUACUCGGGAGGCUAAGGUGGGAGAAUUGCUUGGACCCAGGUGGCAGAGGUUGCAGUGAGCCAAGAUUGUGCCACUGCACUCCAGCCUGGGCAACAAAGCGAAGCUCUGUCUCAAUAAAAAAAAAAAUAAUAAUAAUAAAAUACAAAUACUUAGAAAUUAACUUCGCCUUUGCCUUCAGGCACUUUUGCUACAUGUUAGCAUCAGAGGCUAUUGUACAACUAGAUGGUUAUUCCCUGUUUCUUGGCCGAUUUUUGGUACCUUUCUUUGAAGAAGAGGGUUAGAUUUUAAGAAAGAAAGUGUGCUUAUUUCACUCAUGUCUUUGCAGAAUUUAACUUUGCUUUACUUUAAAAAUUCCAAUCAUCAUGUACCUAUAAAGGUUAAAAUAUAGUGAAAGUUUCUGCUUCAUGUGAAUUCAAUUCUGAGCACCUGCAGGUCAUAUCAGGUGUCUGAUGCAGUUACCUUUAUAGAUCGUGGCAGGUCCUUACAUUUCAACAGGCUUAUGCAUUUCCAUGGGGGGAAGAGAUUCUGUUUCUAGGAAAUUACAAAGGGCACACCACUGCAGGGAGUGUAAACAAUUCUUUGUUGCAACAGACAAGAUUUUUUUUAAAAAAAGAAAAAAGGAUGCAUUUUAGGUACACAGGGUAUGGACGCAUUCAACAUUUACUUUUAUCUCCACAGAUGCCAACCUCCCCUUGUUGCAGGCAGUUGGGCUUUUCCAACUCAUUGCUAACAAAGCUGGCAUCUGCAUUAAUUUCAAUGAGAAUUUCAAGUACUGAAGAUGAAAAGUUGGGGAGAUUCAUGUUUGAAAAAUGAAAAAUGAACAAAAAAUCCACCUUGUGCAGUGAGAUAGCUAACGCUGAUAUAUCAGGAAUAAUUUUAAACUAUUUUUGCUGUAAUGUGUAGCUUUAAUGUCUCUUUUCAGUUAUGGACCCAUAAAAGUAUUCCUAUAUCUUGUGAAUAAAGAUCAUUCUUGUGGACUAGUACGUGGAUGCAUUCAUAGGCUUUGGGAAGCAGUGGUGUGCGUAUGUGUGUCUAUAUCAAUAUUUUAUGUUUAUAACUCUGCGUAUUAAGUUUAUAUAGAAAAAAAUAAUGUCUUUCUUUAGUGUUUGGGGGACUCAAUGGUAAUAUGACCAUUGCAGUGUAAUCUGACUGCUCACUCUAGAGAACACUUCUGUUAUACACAAUGCACAUACAAACAUACACCCCUAAAGCGUAGCUAACUGCUCCCACUAGAUAAUUGCUGCUAAAAACAAAACAAAACAAAACAAUACAAAACAAAAAAAACCCUAAGUAAUGGAGGAAGAAAUAGCAUUCUUUUAAAAGGGGCUUUUCUGAAGAGUAAAAUGUAAAUACAGGACAUGUGGGGAGGGUGGGGCCGCCUGCAAAAUGUCCUGAAGAUGGACAAAUAGCCUUUUAAAUUCUACUUUUUAACCAUCUUUACCGUGUGUGCCUAUUUGUAUUGCAGAUGUGAACUACUAUUUUUGGAGGUUGAUAUCAGUAUGUUUUGAAACUGAAUUAUUACAUAAAAUCAGAGUAACCUCUUUCUCCAUCCUCCUUUUCCACACUAUUCUUGCCAAAUAUUUCUACUGAAACCCAGUUUCAGCAAGGCAAAAUGAUGGGACUCUCAAACCUCCCUCCUCAUCUUCCCUUCCCCUCUGUCUUAUGCCUGGCCUGGCCUUUUUUGUUGUUGUUGGCUUUUCAUAAGUAAGAAAAAUUUAUUGUAGUAUUUCAAGACUGCAGAAUUUCAAGUGUAUAUCUAUAAAUCUUUUUUUAAAAUCUUCGGCUACACAGUAACAUCAAUUAAAACAGAAGAGUGAGUCUAAGUCUGUAAUAUGCUGUAGGACCAGAUAAGAUUUUGAAUGAGACUAAACUUGACUGCCAUAUUUUAAGAGGAAAUUGAAACUUUAUGGUGGAGAAUGGAUGAGAGCAAGUCUAUGAUAUAUAUGUAGUCAUUGUAUAAUUAGAAACACCAAAUGCUGAAUCCUAUCACUGUGUUCUUGGGGGCCAGGCCUUGGAUUUGGUUGUCAUUUAAACUCCUUGAAGAUUAUAUGUAAUUAUAAUGAGCAGAAGGCAAAUAAAGUUUUUGAACAAAAGUCCUUGUUUUCAGUAUUUAAAAUUUGGUAAUAUAUUUUCUUUUUCAGUUAAACUAUCUUCCCCACAAAAAAUAUUAUACUUCAGUUAAACUAUCUUCCCCACAGAAAUUAUUAUACUACGAACAAGUUAUGAGUGAGACUGAGAAGCUUGAAGAAGCUGGUUUUUAAGCAGCUCAUAUAAUAUUUUGUGUUAAAGAAAGUGUCAUUGUUUCCUGUUGGGAGGCAAAUAACAACAACAACAAAAGAAAUUGUCAUGAUUCUUUCUGAGCCAAACUGUCACGAAAUGUUCUGUGACAGAACCACUACUCUUUUUUCUGCCAUUCUGCCUACUGGAGAGUUCUAUGUUGUAUUUGUUUUUAAUCCUUGAUUUUAAAAAUAUUAAUGGUUUUAGUGUUGCUUAGCUUCAGUUUGAAGUAUAACUUUCACUAAUAACUGCAAUAAAAAGAAAAGCUUUGCUCUUAAAC
rnacentral:lncRNA from 1 species